rnacentral:lncRNA from 1 species
UUUAUCUUCUGGUUGAGAACGUCGUUCUCACACCCUCCCCUGCUUUUGCUCAGGGUUGCUGUUGCUAUCUGAGGACUUAAUUCUUCAGGUGAAGAGAGCGGGAUGGAGCUUGGAGGGCAGGAAUUCUGGGACUCAACUGGAUUCUGUCAGAGAGGAAGGGAUGUGCUGAGCUCUGCAAACCUCCUUCCGCUAUUGACAGCGGAGCCUGCUGGUGAGGGACGGGUGACCUUCACCUGCUCUGCCUUAGUCAAUAACAACCCAGAGACAAACAGUCGCUUCAUCUACAACAACCACUUAAUUUUGUGCCCCACUCUAUUUACAGUCAGAAAAAAGAAAAGCAAACCAAAUUCUGUGAUAUGUAUUUUUUUUUCUUCAGUCAAGGAUGUACCACAAAUGUCAACAAAGUGUCCUUUUGGUCAAUACUUGCUAGGGAAAGUACAGUGUGUUCUUGGGAUGAUUAUGGUACACAAGGCUUCUCACAAACUAAUGAAAACAUCGAAC